rnacentral:lncRNA from 1 species
GUGGCAAGGCCAAAGAACGUCAAUGCAACAACCAAACACCAUAUGAUAUGGAUGUCAGAAGAAGAAAACGACAUGAGACAAGUGUUAUUUUAUGCCCUGAACACACCACUUUACAUGGUGGCUUUUAGCACUCUGUUUACAGAAAGCUAAACUUUCAUGUCUUAGAAAGGAAAUAGCUACAGGAGCCAAUUAAAGGACCAAACUGCUUUCUUAAAAUGUACCAGAACCUUAACAAAGUCCGCUAAAAUAUGACUUUCAGGAGGACAUGAGCAAUUGUUAUUUGAAAUCCAACAACACCACCAAAACUUUCUAGCCCUGUUUUGAUGUUCCUCCUCUAUUAGGAAGCUUAUAAUUAGUUUAUGAUACAUUUAUAAAGAAUCAAGAAGUAAUCAAUGAAGAAAUUAGUGACAUUUUAGUGAAUAAUUAGUGAAUAAUUAAUAAAUAAAUGAAUGAAGACA